UGAAGCCUUGGCUAUAAGGGAAAACAAUUCAAAACAUUCUUACUAAUGCAAAUCAAUAGUUAUGUACAUUUUUCUACAUGUUUUGAUGAUUUUCCAACCCAAAAAGGUCACUUGUGCCAUCCUGCAAAGCAGUUCCUGUCUGCAGUGACACAGAGGCGUGUCAGUGGUAGUAGUAGGAGUAAACAGGAGGAGUGAGAGGUCCUGUUUUCAGGACCUCUCACGCGGUGCUGUUUUUUUCGACCAGUCGACAGCACAGCGUCUGAUUGGUCUGUGACAAAGCCUCUGAUUGGUCACGGUUACGAUCACACGGAAGCCCUGCCCGGAGCGGCGCAAGUGUUAGCUUCCUGUCGAAACAAACCAGAUAUCUGGAGAUGGACUUGACCGACGUUGCCAUCCAUAGAGCUGCACCGUGGGAAUAAACGGACUGAAAUACUGCAUCGACAAACCCGGCGUCUUCACACCAACGCUUUACAGUGUGCGGAGUCUGUGAAACUCACCUGAAGAUCAGAUGGACUGAUGGAGAAAGAGAGAUGAUGGAGAAACUCGGUGUGCUGCCGAGGAGAGGUCCUCACUCUCUCUAACGGGAACGUGAGGACCCAGUGAUCCAGGACAAACUCGGAGGAAAGCUGCAGAGUAGUUAAGAAAUUCAAGCAGCAAUCAAGUUGGGCAGGAGGAGCCAGAGUCACAGCAGAAUGUCAUCAUUCUUCGAACUGAUAAAUGAGUCUACAGGAAACCAGAGGAACCUCACUGUCUUGUUAUCAUAUUUUAGACAAAACCUGCUAAUUUAUCUCGAUUAGAAACAGGUCAUGUACGUGAGACUGUAUCAAACACUGCAUAAAUAGCCCUCUCUUACUGGUAGACAUAUUUAGAUUCUUGAUGUGUCCCUCUAAAUAAAUAUCUCUUAUAUACUGGUUUGUAAGCACACAUUAAGCUGGUAAAACUAAAUCAUAUAAGUAUCAUCAGUUUCACUUGCCCUUUGGUUGCUAUUGCUCACUGCUCCAAAGAUAUCUCCAUUUCCUUGUGUGGAAUCAAUAACCUUUAUCUUAUCUUGAAAAAAGACGUUUGAUCUAUAUUUGAUCAUUUUCAAUUACUGAGCAACAACAAAGAAAAGAGAAAGGGAAUACAGAAAAUUCUUGCUUGUUCACCUGACAAACUUGCGAGCCGGGUUGGACGCCGGCUUGGGAUCAGGAUCUUUCCUCUGCGAUUCGCCG